GCCGCCAACGCAGGCGCCUCCCUCCAAAUAGGGGUCCCUGGUGCCGGGAGGCAUCACGAACACGAGGUCGCGGUCGCAGUACAACGGCAGCGGCUUCUCCAUCCGCGUGCCGCCGUCCUUCGACGACAUCCUCGAGCCCGAGGUGAUUAGGGUUUCCUCUGCCCCCGUUGGUUUCCUCUGCCACUGCGAUUAGGGUUUCGCUGGCCGUUGCUGUGUGCGGGGGAGAUCUCAAUGUUUGGUUUCGAAUUGUUGAAUGCUGACUCCUUCCACGUCUAGGACUACAACGCUCGCUUUGCUUCUCCAGAUAGGUAGGUAGGUAGGUAAGGCCUCGCUCUGCUCCAUGGACUGCAGAUCUGGUAUUGAUUUCCCGUAGCAUUUGUACUGAUUUUUGUCAGGAACGAAUUUUAGUGGUGGUUGCUGUGUUGUACUGCAUGCUAAACACAGAGUACUAUCCUUUGUUUGAUGCAGGGACGACAAGACGAACUCAUCAUAAGCAUGGUGAUUAAGCCGUCAAAUCAGCUCAAGAUCACAUUUCUAGAGGCAAAAGACAUAACUGACUUGGGCACCCUGAAGGCAUCAAAGAUACUUGUACCUGGUGAUUUCUGUUGGUGCCUUGAAGUGACAAAUCUCAUGAAUACUAAUGAUUUAAUUUUCUUUAUUAUGAUCUGAAACUUACUAGGAUAUGUCAUGCAUGGAUAAGAUUUGAAGAGGAGAGUGGCGCCUUGGGUGAUUAUGACCUUGCUGCAAAAAAGGUCACGCCUCGGCUAAAGGAGCUUAUGAUGUCAUCCUGCAGGCAAUCAUAUUAUGCUCAUAUCAACUCAGCAAUGUGUACUACUGUUAUCCUGCUGGAUUAAUACUAAAUAAGAUAUCCUUUACUUGGCAGGCACUUGCCAGCUGUGAUAGUUUUGUUUCCUUUCUAGAUAAUCUGCUUGCAACUGACGGCUUGCUACCUCUUGUAAACUGAUUCAUCUAGUGCAUUUUCUUCUCAGCAAGGUUGGGGACUCAAACUUGUCACAAUCAAGUAUCAAUUGCUUUGGUGGAUACUAUCAGCCUCAAGUGUUCACUGGUUUGGAACCAAGUGUAUAUAAUAUGUAGGUGUAGCUGCAAUUGGAUAGUGAAUACAUUGCUCUUUUCAAAAAAUGAUUUCCUGUGUGAUGAGAUUAAUUGGAUAGAUGUAGCCUCAAGUGUUCCUGCAUUUGUAAUGUAUAUUGUGGAUAAAGCAUGUGAAUUUGUGAUGUAAAGAAUGGAUAAAACAUAUGUAUAUGUGAUGUAUAUGAGGGUAUAUUCUGUCA